UGUAAGCGUAUACCAUAGUUGUUGCAGUUAAAACGCUCGUAGUCGGAAUUUGGCAGUUCCGGAAGUGUGCACGUCGUGUGCGCACUUUGCGGGGACUGCUUUUGUGGUCUUGCGUAGGAUGAGGCACUUUCAUUAGUGAACGUCCUCACGCAACCACUCCUUACUGUGAGAAAAUCAUAGUGCUCAAAGCAGGCAUUUGCCGUGAAUGUAUUAGCAUGGAAUAAUAGAAUAGGACUCGGUUCUAUUUUGUUGGUUUGUUGGGACUGAGUAAUGAUUAAGAGGGACAGUUGGGGGCAUUUGUAUUCCGGCGCUAGAGGUGAAAUUCUUAGAUUGCCGGAAGACAAACUGCUGCGAAAGCGUCUGCCAAGGAUGUUUUCAUUGA
rnacentral:rRNA from 1 species